CGUUAAAAUUUCAUUUCGAGAUUAAAAUUUUCUUCUACAAGAAAUUUAUUAAAAAUAAAAUUCGAUUGAUAUCCAAUCAACUUCAUAAAUAAUAUAAUCCACAUCUUUAUGAAUUAUACAAUCGAAUGAAUAAAACGAUCUCUAAAAACGUAAAAAUAUUCAGUACGAAAUCAACAAGGUUCCUGACUAACCGAAGAGAAUAAGUAACCCGUUUUGAGGUCAAUCGGAACGAUUCGACGUUCCACUUCCGGAAAUCAUUGGCGAAUAAGGAAGAUCGCAGGCUAUAUAAGCGAUGCACAAGAAUAAAAACGCGUUCAGUUCUCCCUUGUUGCCGAUCUGUCGGCAGCAAAACUUGCAGCCAAAGCUCGAAUCGGGGGCAUAAAGUGCCGGUUCAAUUACUAUAAAGCUCUUCUUUGCUACGUAUGCCAGCGACUGCGAGCUGUCAGGGUGUGGCGUCCAGACACCAUGGCGCCGAUUCCCUAACCCCUAACUCGUUUUCUUCCCCCGUUCGAAUGGCGUUCGAGGACGUUGCGCCAGAUUAAAACAGGAUCGACUCACUUUCUGAAACCGGGUCGCCGUCUUCUGUUUACAAUCGUUGAAAUUUUAUUGCGAAUUUCCUCCAGCGGAUUUCCAUAUGUUAAUUGGACGAUGCUAUUUUUAAAUUAUUGCUAAUGGAUUUGAAUAUUUUAUUGGAAGUGGAGGAUUUUGCUUAUGAUUGAGAAUUUUUAUUGAGUUUUUUGAGAGAAUUCUAUAUUUUUAGAUUAUCUUUAUGUUUUUUUUUGUUCUUUCAGGUGGAUAAAGUUAUUGCUGGUAUUUUUGGAAGUGAAGGAAGUAAAAGUUAUAGAAAGGAGGUUUUAAUAAACACAAUCAAAUAUUCAUUCAUUUAAUUUAAUUCCGUGUAAUAUUUUCAGAAUUGAUGGAAGAGUUUUCGUGUUUUUCAUAUUUUUAUUCACAGGAAACGUUCGGCCAAUUAUCGGGAUAUGUCGUCUCUUUUUUCUUUGGUUUCCACUUUAAUUUGUGUCUGCCAUCUCGUGCAUAAAGCGAAGCAUGGAAGAAAAUGACGGGAAAUAUUGUGUAGAAUUUUAUGCUCCGUCACAGUCUGACGGUUUGGUUGAUAACCUAAGAGGGAAGAAAUAUUAUUUUACAUUUUUGCAACUUGUCGUUCGCGAGAAAAGUAAAGACUCUUUUAAGUGAAAUAAUUCAAAAAUCUUUUUGCUUUGUCUUGAAUCUAUUAUCUUCGUGAUUUAUAAAAGAUAAUAACGGCAUGAAACAAUUAAUAGCACUGCAUAAAAAUGUUGCAGAUUUCUAGAUCUUUUAAUAUGCGAAAUUUCAUGUGGAACAAACUUUUAUUUUUGAUUAAUUCGUAUACAAAUCUUUAAAUCGAAAUUAAAUAUUACAUUUCUUGAAUUAAAUCAAUUACAAGGCUUGGAAAAAUUA